rnacentral:rRNA from 1 species
AGUCGACCCCUAAGGCGAGGCCGAAAGGCGUAGUCGAUGGGAAACGGGUUAAUAUUCCCGUACUUGGUGUUACUGCGAAGGGGGGACGGAGAAGGCUAUGUUGGCCGGGCGACGGUUGUCCCGGUUUAAGCGUGUAGGUGUGUGUUCCAGGUAAAUCCGGUUCACUUUAACACUGAGGCGUGACGACGAGGCACUACGGUGCUGAAGCAACAAAUGCCCUGCUUCCAGGAAAAGCCUCUAAGCAUCAGGUAACAUCAAAUCGUACCCCAAACCGACACAGGUGGUCAGGUAGAGAAUACCAAGGCGCUUGAGAGAACUCGGGUGAAGGAACUAGGCAAAAUGGUGCCGUAACUUCGGGAGAAGGCACGCUGACAC